rnacentral:lncRNA from 1 species
UAAGAGAGAAGAAAACAAUUUAAAUAAGGAUAAAACUUAGAGUACAAAUUCAUAACUUCAAGGUCCAUGAAAAUAUAAAACGAAAAAUUCAAAUUAUUGGAUACAUAAUAACUAUAACUAAAUGACAACUUAUGAACUUUUGUAGCAGAAUCUUUUGGGUACACCAAUCAAACACACGUACAUAUGCCGUUUUUUGAGGAAAGGGGUGUAUUCUUCAUUACACACUUCCGUUUCAAAGGUGAUUGGCACAUACUUUUUGGACAGUCAGAAUCUUGAUUACAUUUUAUAUUGACCACCGCUAUAAUGAAAAAAGAUAAUGAAAAAAUGUUACUAAAAUGAGAUUAAAAUUAGGAAAAUGCUAAACAGUGUCCCCGGGACACUAGUUAAAGAUACAAAUAUAGAAGUUUUAUCUCGUAAAUUGUGCAUUCAAUGUUUUAAUAAUGUGAAAAGUUAUUCUCUCUCAUCAUUAACUUUAUCAUUUGUUUCUUUUUUUAGUAUGCUUAACUAAUGCCCCAGAGGCACUGUUUAGCAUGACCCUUAAAAUUAUCUAGGAAAUAACUAAGAAGUUUUGAAAAAGGAUAAAAAUGACUUACCAUCAACGUUCAUUGCAAUAAGAAAUACGAAAAAACAGAUAAUAAUCAUAACAUUAACAAAUUUGACAGUUUUAGACAUAUUUCUCCCUUUUGCGAAAUAUAAUGUUUUAUCCCUUUAAAAUUUAUAAAUCUCAUCGUUUUCUUCGAUACAUUAUAUAUAGUU